rnacentral:sRNA from 1 species
UCCCCGGACCGUUUAAUUCUCCCACUUCCCAAGGAGUGAGGAUUCGGAUAGAAAUUAAAUCCUGAUAAAAAUAAACAAGUUCAUGCUCCUGCAAUUUGCAGGAAGGGAAUACGGAGAUUAUUCCCACAUGGGUGGUGGGUAUCCAGGAUGCUGAGGGGGGGGCCAAAAAAAAAAAAAAGUCCAACAGAAAAAUCCUUGCUUCCGCAGCAAAAGGAAGGAAAAAGCAACUGAACCAUUUGAGCUCGGCUUCUUCAACAUACGCCCAAGCGAUCGGCAAAUGCUGUAUGCACGAUGCCACUUUCGCUCCAGUGUUUUCCACUAGUCGGAAGACAUGAAUGAACUCAAAAACGCCGACUGGACUGAUGGAAUAAGCCAAGUUUUGAGCCAAUAGAUGGGAGCCAGGCGACAUGGAAAAGAAAAUGACAACGGACUGUUCCUCCAUGCUGGUAUGUUUCAUGUUCGCUGGGACGGCUGAACUCCUUCGGCACAACUAGGGAAGGCGAACGGCUUGGUGCUGAAAAGUGGAUCUGAGGGCCAAGGCAUUCGCCAAAAUUCCCCAGAUGUCGACGUGCAGUAGCGCGGGCAUGGAUUGCGACUUGGCCUACCAGCCAACGCCAACCAUUUCCCCAAGGCAUGUUGGUUGUUGGUGCAAAGAGAAGGAGCCCUGGUUCGGCAAAAUGGCAGG